rnacentral:rRNA from 1 species
ACGGGACCUUUCGGGGUUUAGUGGCGGACGGGUGAGUAACGCGUGAGAACAUGCCCUUAGGUUCGGGACAACAGUUGGAAACGGCUGCUAAUACCGAAUGUGCCGAGAGGUGAAAGAUUAAUUGCCUAAGGAUUGGCUCGCGUCAGAUUAGCUAGUUGGUGGAGUAAUGGUUUACCAAGGCGACGAUCUGUAUUUGGUCUGAGAGGAUGACCAGACACACUGGGACUGAGACACGGCCCAGACUCCUACGGGAGGCAGCAGUGGGGAAUUUUCCGCAAUGGGCGAAAGCCUGACGGAGCAAUACCGCGUGAGGGAGGACGGCUUUUGGGUUGUAAACCUCUUUUAUCAGGGAAGAAACAAAUGACGGUACCUGAUGAAUCAGCAUCGGCUAACUCCGUGCCAGCAGCCGCGGUAAUACGGAGGAUGCAAGCGUUAUCCGGAAUUAUUGGGCGUAAAGCGUCCGUAGGUGGUUUUUCAAGUCUGCUGUCAAAGCGUGGAGCUUAACUCCAUAUCGGCAGUGGAAACUGGGAGACUAGAGUGCGAUAGGGGUAACGGGAAUUCCCAGUGUAGCGGUGAAAUGCGUAGAGAUUGGGAAGAACACCAGCGGCGAAAGCGCGUUACUGGGU